AGAGCGAACGCUGGCGGCAGGCUUAACACAUGCAAGUCGAGCGGGCGUAGCAAUACGUCAGCGGCAGACGGGUGAGUAACGCGUGGGAACGUACCUUUUGGUUCGGAACAACACAGGGAAACUUGUGCUAAUACCGGAUAAGCCCUUACGGGGAAAGAUUUAUCGCUGAAGGAUCGGCCCGCGUCUGAUUAGCUAGUUGGUGAGGUAACGGCUCACCAAGGCUACGAUCAGUAGCUGGUCUGAGAGGAUGAUCAGCCUCACUGGGACUGAGACACGGCCCAGACUCCUACGGGAGGCAGCAGUGGGGAAUAUUGGACAAUGGGCGCAAGCCUGAUCCAGCCAUGCCGCGUGGAUGAUGAAGGCCUUAGGGUUGUAAAGUCCUUUCGACGGGAAGAUAAUGACGGUACCGUAGAAGAAGCCCGGCUAACUUCGUGCCAGCAGCCGC
rnacentral:rRNA from 1 species